CAGUCGUACGCUUCUUUUUCCCCGGAGCUUGCUCCACCGGAAAAAGAAGAGUGGCGAACGGGUGAGUAACACGUGGGUAACCUGCCCAUCAGAAGGGGAUAACACUUGGAAACAGGUGCUAAUACCGUAUAACAAUCGAAACCGCAUGGUUUUGAUUUGAAAGGCGCUUUCGGGUGUCGCUGAUGGAUGGACCCGCGGUGCAUUAGCUAGUUGGUGAGGUAACGGCUCACCAAGGCCACGAUGCAUAGCCGACCUGAGAGGGUGAUCGGCCACAUUGGGACUGAGACACGGCCCAAACUCCUACGGGAGGCAGCAGUAGGGAAUCUUCGGCAAUGGACGAAAGUCUGACCGAGCAACGCCGCGUGAGUGAAGAAGGUUUUCGGAUCGUAAAACUCUGUUGUUAGAGAAGAACAAGGAUGAGAGUAACUGUUCAUCCCUUGACGGUAUCUAACCAGAAAGCCACGGCUAACUACGUGCCAGCAGCCGCGGUAAUACGUAGGUGGCAAGCGUUGUCCGGAUUUAUUGGGCGUAAAGCGAGCGCAGGCGGUUUCUUAAGUCUGAUGUGAAAGCCCCCGGCUCAACCGGGGAGGGUCAUUGGAAACUGGGAGACUUGAGUGCAGAAGAGGAGAGUGGAAUUCCAUGUGUAGCGGUGAAAUGCGUAGAUAUAUGGAGGAACACCAGUGGCGAAGGCGGCUCUCUGGUCUGUAACUGACGCUGAGGCUCGAAAGCGUGGGGAGCAAACAGGAUUAGAUACCCUGGUAGUCCACGCCGUAAACGAUGAGUGCUAAGUGUUGGAGGGUUUCCGCCCUUCAGUGCUGCAGCUAACGCAUUAAGCACUCCGCCUGGGGAGUACGACCGCAAGGUUGAAACUCAAAGGAAUUGACGGGGGCCCGCACAAGCGGUGGAGCAUGUGGUUUAAUUCGAAGCAACGCGAAGAACCUUACCAGGUCUUGACAUCCUUUGACCACUCUAGAGAUAGAGCUUCCCCUUCGGGGGCAAAGUGACAGGUGGUGCAUGGUUGUCGUCAGCUCGUGUCGUGAGAUGUUGGGUUAAGUCCCGCAACGAGCGCAACCCUUAUUGUUAGUUGCCAUCAUUUAGUUGGGCACUCUAGCAAGACUGCCGGUGACAAACCGGAGGAAGGUGGGGAUGACGUCAAAUCAUCAUGCCCCUUAUGACCUGGGCUACACACGUGCUACAAUGGGAAGUACAACGAGUCGCGAAGUCGCGAGGCUAAGCUAAUCUCUUAAAGCUUCUCUCAGUUCGGAUUGUAGGCUGCAACUCGCCUACAUGAAGCCGGAAUCGCUAGUAAUCGCGGAUCAGCACGCCGCGGUGAAUACGUUCCCGGGCCUUGUACACACCGCCCGUCACACCACGAGAGUUUGUAACACCCGAAGUCGGUGAGGUAACCU
rnacentral:rRNA from 1 species